rnacentral:lncRNA from 1 species
GUAAGGAAAUUUGAGGAUGGGAGUUGCUUGAGGCCGGGUCACUCAGGGCUUUGGGGUGGGGGGUUAGGGCUGCCCCGCAAGCCCUGUCACUGUGCCACGUUCAUGUGCCUGUAGGGUUCUGACCGGCGCCGGCAAUGGUGGAGAUGGUGGCAGCAAGCGGUAUCGCUGAAGUCAGGUGAGUCCCCUGAGGGUCAACCUGGCACAUUGCCGGGCAGGGCCAGCCCUCCAGGGGAAGCCAAGCUUCAUACCAGCCUCUGUCAUGUAGCAGCCAGGCCAGGUGGGCCUGGAAGAUCCCGCUGCCCCCUAACCUACUGUGGCUCAGGCCCACUCCCUGUUUUACAGGUGCUGAGAGGCAGGCAGGCAGGCGCGGGAGCCCCCUGUGCAGGCCAUGUUGCUCCCAGCAGCAAGCAUCACCAUGGCAGGGCAGUCCCAUCCUGCCCCAUGUCACCCAGCCAGGAAAGACCCAGCCUUUGUUGCAGCGUAACCUGUGCCCCUCUCUUCACACCAACUCUGCCACUGGUACCACGAGGCCUGCGGGGAAACCCGGCAGGCUUCCCGGACAGGACCAGCGCCCGCAGGUUCUGGUGGCACGUGGGACCCCCAGGAUGUUCGGUCAGCGUUCAAGGCUAGGCAGUGGAGUUCAGGACCUGCCUCCUGAGAUCCUCAGCUGCACAAAGCCACCGGUGAAAGGGAUGGUCUUUCAGGAGGGCCUUGUUCAAACAGAGGAGAGAAAACGCUGGUGGGAAUACAAGACCAAGAGGCCUAUUUGGCCUAUGCGCCCCCCAGCACUUCCCAGAGGGCACAAGAAAGCAGGAGCAGCAGCAAGACCAUCACGAGGACCAGCUUUGAGCCUGGAGAAAAAAGCAGACAGCCAAACUGAAACCUGCCAGCCCUUCAACUCUGGCUUCAGCGGCAGCAGAAGCACAGAGCAAUCGGACAGGCUCGCUAUGGAAAGGCUGUACCGGCAGCUCCUGGUGUCCCUAAAACGGCCCAAGACCAAGAACGAUUGCUAACAAGUCAGGCUGUGGAACUGAAGAACAUCCUCCCUGUAA